rnacentral:ribozyme from 1 species
UGCCCAGCAACUCCUAUCCCUCUCCUCGCGGUACCGGCCGGAAACUAUGAGCAACCUUAGGGAGGAUCGGGGAACCAACCCCUGUGGGAACUUUGGUCGUAGGCUGACAGGGAAGG